rnacentral:tRNA from 1 species
UUAAUUGAAACCAAAACCGAGGUAUAUCAUUGUUAAUGAUAACAUUGAGAUAAUUCUCCAAUUAAG